rnacentral:rRNA from 1 species
AAUCAACGCUGGCGGCGUGCCUAACACAUGCAAGUCGAACGGGAAAGUGGUAGCAAUACCAUGAGUAUAGUGGCGCACGGGUGAGUAACACGUGACUAACCUACCCUGGAGUGGGGAAUAACUGGAGGAAACUUCAGCUAAUACCGCAUAACACCUACGGGUCAAAGGAGCAAUUCGCUUCAGGAGGGGGUCGCGGUCGAUUAGUUAGUUGGUGGGGUAAAGGCCCACCAAGGCUACGAUGGUUAGCCGGCCUGAGAGGGUGAUCGGCCACAUUGGGACUGAGAUACGGCCCAGACUCCUACGGGAGGCAGCAGUAGGGAAUUUUGCACAAUGGGGGAAACCCUGAUGCAGCAACGCCGCGUGGAGGAUGAAGUCCCUUGGGAUGUAAACUCCUUUCGACCGGGACGAUAAUGACGGUACCGGUGGAAGAAGCCCCGGCUAACUCUGUGCCAGCAGCCGCGGUAAUACAGAGGGGGCAAGCGUUGUUCGGAAUUAUUGGGCGUAAAGGGUGCGUAGGCGGUGCGGUAAGUCUCUUGUGAAAUCUCCGGGCUCAACUCGGAGCCUGCAAGGGAAACUGUCGUGCUUGAGUAUGGGAGAGGUGAGUGGAAUUCCUGGUGUAGCGGUGAAAUGCGUAGAUAUCAGGAGGAACACCUGUGGCGAAAGCGGCUCACUGGACCAUUACUGACGCUGAUGCACGAAAGCUAGGGGAGCAAACAGGAUUAGAUACCCUGGUAGUCCUAGCCCUAAACGAUGAUUGCUUGGUGUAGCAGGUACCCAAUCCUGCUGUGCCGUAGCUAACGCGUUAAGCAAUCCGCCUGGGGAGUACGGUCGCAAGGCUG